GGCCCGUUGGUCAAGCGGUUAAGACACCGCCCUUUCACGGCGGUAACAGGGGUUCGAAUCCCCUACGGGUCA
rnacentral:tRNA from 1 species